rnacentral:tmRNA from 1 species
GGGGGUGUCACGGUUUCGACUUAGAAGUGAAACAUUGAUUGCAUGCAGAGGACGUCGGUUGGCCUCUUAAAUCAUCCGAUAAAACUAUUAAAUGCCAAAACAGGUGUUAACAGUCAGAAAGUGACAAGCAUUGCUGGUUAUGUAGAAGCACCUCGUGCUAAUACAUACGCAGUAUCUUACACUGCUGCUGCUGCUGCUUAAUCCUAACAGAUUAAAUAGCACGAUAACCUAGAGCUGGACCAAGGGGUCUAGGAUCUAUCGUUAAAGUCUUGGUAUGAUAGAGAAUUCCGCCGCUUCUAGGGGCUUUCUAUCGAGAUUAAAUGAAGCAAGUUGAUUCUAGUGUCGUGUUUUGCAUGGGAAUCGACUCAACUUCAAAACACUAAGCAUGUAGUGGUUAAUGCGUAGUUUGCUAAGGACGAGAGUUCAAUUCUCUCCACCUCCAAUU